GGUUGGAAGUAGAACAAGUGUUGGAUCUUUACAAGUAUGCAUAGGAACAAAUCUCCUGUCCUACGGUAUCCAAGUAGAUUGUCAUGUACAUACAUUUUAGUCUGUAGAAGACCGUCGAUGUUGGCAGAAUAAAAACUGUUUGUCAGAGUUACACAGAGAGAGGAAGGGCGAGAAAGAGGAGAAGGAAAAUGAAGAAGGAGAAAGGAGUGGCAAUAGCAUCGAAUCCAUCUGGCAGCGGCGAAGAAUCAAACGAGAAGGGCGACCUCUCCCUGCCCACGGAGAGAAUCUCUUCCCGAAAUGCUUCUUCCAAAUACGAUUUUGUCAAGGUGAAGGUAUGGUUGGGUGAUAAUGCGGAUCACUACUAUGUUCUGUCCAGAUUUCUCCUCAGUAGAAUGCUUACUGUCACUAAGAUCCCUAAUCAUGUUGCUAUCAAAAUUGCUCUGGAACUCAAAAAGCUGCUCAUAGACAACAGCCUUCUGGACGUCUCCCAAUCAGAUUUGGAAGCUAAUCUGUUUAAGCUUAUGGAGCGGCGGGGAUAUGGGGAAGAAUACAUUAACCGUUAUAAGAUGAUGACAAGAUUUCACCACCAAAGGGUACCAUUGGUGAUUCUUGUGUGUGGAACUGCUUGUGUUGGGAAGUCAACCAUUGCGACCCAACUUGCACAAAGGCUAAACUUGCCUAAUGUUUUACAGACAGAUAUGGUAUAUGAAUUGCUACGCACAUCAACAGACGCGCUAUUGGCAUCUACUCCCGUAUGGGCACGUGGCUUCACCUCAUCUGAGGAACUCAUCACUGAAUUUUGUAGGGAAUGCAGAAUUGUUCGUAAAGGUUUGGCUGGUGAUUUGAAGAAGGCAGUGAAAGAUGGAAAACCCAUUAUUAUUGAGGGAAUACAUUUGGAUCCAAGUAUUUAUUUAAUGAAUGAUGAGAAUAGAGAAUCAAACAAAGUUCCUACAGAAAAAGAAGAGUCAAAAUCUGUUCCUGUUAACAGAGAGGGUGAUGUUGCAACAGAAAAGGAAUACAAUUCAAAAAUUACUUGUGGAAGUCACAGUGGGAGUACCAAUCCUGGAAAUGUUGUCCCAGAAGUAGAUGUAUCUACUGAACAGGUGACAGAAGUUUCAGAGUCCCUGAGGUCUCUCGACUUAGCAGGAAGAACUUCUGAAAGCCAAGGUGAAACUGCUAAAGAUCCAGAGUUAAGGACCAAUCAUUCUAUGAAGAAAGAGAAGUCUGCUCCUGAACCUAUAAUUAUACCUAUUGCUCUGAAGAUGGCUGAGUUUGAUCACAAGCUGAUCUCCCAUUGGUUCUUUGCUUGGGUUGUGUGAUGCUGAUCGAGGCUUAGGUGGGAUGCCCAAGUCAUAUCCUUUUUAUAUUUUUGCUUCCAUAUGUUAAAAAAAAAAAAAAAAAGGCAUUUUUUUUCCUGUAAUUGAUUUUUGUUCAUCCUUAUAUCAUCGAUCUUUUUGCAAUUGAUCUCCUAGUGGUAAUUUCCCUAGUCUGAGAUCAAUUCCACAUUACAUUGGGUCCAAUUCAUUUCAGAACCUUGAAUCAGUUGAAUGUACACAUCUUUCGAGGAUGCAGCUUAGAGUUGGUGCCGAGUGUGAACCUUUCCGGAGCAACAUAUACCAUCACAAUUUCACUUGGCUUAUUGGGUCGCCGCACAUCGGUGAUAUGUCAGAUGAACUCACCACCUUCAACGCCAACUCUUAACAUGAGAAGGUAGAGGUGGCAAGUCUAUUGGUCUCUUAGGUUGAAUUCCAAGUACUAUCUCAAAUGGUGUGCGACCAAUGGUGUGGUUGACAGAACUGUUGUAAGAAAAUUCAGCAAUGUCGAGUAUCUAUGGCCAAGUUUUCUCAUGAUCUUGUACAAGACAUCAUAAAAGGUUGCCAAGACUUCAUAACUUCCAGCUGCCCAUCAUUCUGCAAUUGAAAGGCUGAAGAAAACGGCAACUUUGUAUUUGUACUCAUCCACAAAGCUUUCCAAAAGUAACUCAUGAACUUUAAAUCAUGAUCGGAGACAAGCGAUUCCGGGAAUCCAUGUAGUCACACUUUAUUUGAAAAUAUGGUGGCAGUGUAGCUUUCAUCAUAGGUCGCCCUACAAGGUAUGAAGUGAGCCAUUCUUUGAGAAUCUGUCCACCAAAAGUAUGCAAUCGUGCCUUUCCCAAGUAGGGGCAAGCCAAGCACGAAGUCCAUGCUGAUAUGUAGCCAUUGUGCAUAAGGCUUUACUAGAGGAGUGGAUUUCUACUAGGACAUUUGUUGACAAAUGUCUAUCCCAGGUACCUUGGAUGACUGCCGCAACAAUCGAUUAAGAGAUUUAGAUUGUAUAUAUAUCAUAUGGAAUAUAAUGUUGCUUUUCCAACAUGUUAAUUUCUUCAGAGGUCAGCAUGUAGCUUUGAUAUUUGAUCGUUCGCCACUGUUAAGCAGGUUUGGUAUGAAGUUGCUAACCCAGGAAGGCAGGAUCUAAAAGAAAAAUUUUGUGGUUAAAAGAUCA